GGGCGCGUAGUCUAGUGGAAAAGGCACCAGCCUUCGGAGCUGGGUAUCCCAGGUUCAAAUCCUGGCGCGCCCGCCA
rnacentral:tRNA from 1 species